UAGUCCACGCCGUAAACGAUGAGCACUAGUUGUAGCGGGUAUUAACCCCUGCUGUGACGUAGCUAACGCAUUAAGUGCUCCGCCUGGGGAGUACGGUCGCAAGACUAAAACUCAAAGGAAUUGACGGAGGCCCGCACAAGCGGUGGAUUAUGUGGUUUAAUUCGAAGCAACGCGCAGAACCUUACCUGGGCUUGAAAUCCGGAGAAUUUUUCAGAGAUGAUUAAGUGCCCUUCGGGGAACUCCGUGACAGGCGCUGCAUGGCUGUCGUCAGCUCGUGUUGUGAAAUGUUGGGUUAAGUCUCGCAACGAGCGCAACCCUCGUCUUUAGUUGCCAUCAUUUAGUUGGGCACUCUAGAGAAACUGCCGGUGACAAGCCGGAGGAAGGUAAGGAUGACGUCAAGUCAGCAUGCCCCUUACGCUCUGGGCUACACACGUGCUACAAUGGUCGUGACAAAGAGUUGCUAGUCUGCGAAGGCAAGCCAAUCUCAUAAACGCGGCCUU
rnacentral:rRNA from 1 species